UACGAACCGUGCGAACGUUGUUCGGAAUCACUGGGCUUAAAGGGCGCGUAGGCGGGCGGUCAAGUCAGAGGUGAAAUCCCACGGCUCAACCGUGGAAGUGCCCCUGAUACUGAUCGCCUCGAGGGAGGUAGGGGCGUGCGGAACUUCCGGUGGAGCGGUGAAAUGCGUAGAUAUCGGAAGGAACACCGAUGGCGAAAGCAGCGCGCUGGACCUUUACUGACGCUGAGGCGCGAAAGCCAGGGGAGCAAACGGG
rnacentral:rRNA from 1 species